GACCCAGUAGCGGAUGGUCCGCGUCUCCCUUGCUUGAAUUUGGCACUUGUACCUCAAAUGAAUGAUGGAGAGCUCCCCCGUUCGAUUCGGGGCUGGGUCG